UUGCUCACUUUGGCAACACAUACACUAAAUUUGGAAUGAUACAAAGAUUAGCAUGGCCUCUGCACAAGGGUGACACACAAACUCAUGAAGCUUUACAUAUGUUA
ensembl:snRNA U6 U6 spliceosomal RNA